rnacentral:misc_RNA from 1 species
AACGCACGAGACCUGCGGACCUGCGGAGGGAUCAUUAACGAAUAUCUAUGGCGUUGGUUGUAGCUGGCCCUUAGGAGCAUUUUGUGCACGCCCGUCAUUCAUAUCAUCUUUCCACCUGUGAACUAUGUGUAGGCCUGGAUACCCCUCGCUUUGGCAACAAGGCGGAUACAAGGAUUGCUGCGUCGCAAGGCCGGCUCUCUUUGAAUUUCCAGGUUCUAUGUCUUUUACACACCCCAUUUG